AGUGAACGCUGGCGGUAGGCCUAACACAUGCAAGUCGAACGGCAGCACAGUAAGCGCUUGCUCUUACGGGUGGCGAGUGGCGGACGGGUGGGGAAUACAUCGGAAUCUACUUUUUCGUGGGGGAUAACGUAGGGAAACUUACGCUAAUACCGCAUACGACCUACGGGUGAAAGCAUGGGAUCUUCGGACCUUGCGCGAUUGAAUGAGCCGAUGUCGGAUUAGCUAGUUGGCGGGGUAAGGGCCCACCAAGGCGACGAUCCGUAGCUGGUCUGAGAGGAUGAUCAGCCACACUGGAACUGAGACACGGUCCAGACUCCUACGGGAGGCAGCAGUGGGGAAUAUUGGACAAUGGGCGCAAGCCUGAUCCAGCCAUACCGCGUGGGUGAAGAAGGCCUUCGGGUUGUAAAGCCCUUUUGUUGGGAAAGAAAAGCAGCAGGUUAAUACCCCGCUGUUCUGACGGUACCCAAAGAAUAAGCACCGGCUAACUUCGUG
rnacentral:rRNA from 1 species